rnacentral:lncRNA from 1 species
ACUAUAUUGAUAGUAGAAUGCAUUGUCCUUUUUUGUCAGAACUGUGCCAGUUCCAGGCCCUCCAGUUCAGUGGGCAGUUCUCGGCCGGGCAGCUCUCCAGUACCAGGUGUUUUGGACAGGCAAACAGUCACCUACUCCAGCAGCUCAUCGACCCACAGCGACAACAUCUCCCAGAGUUACAACAAAACAAGGCAUCUGUCCCUCCCCUGUGUCCACGACAACUUAAAUGAAGACCUGCGAUGUCCUGACACUGGUGUCCACCUCUCUGGACAGGAGAACCUGAGAAAACCUAAAGACAGACUUCCAAACGAAUGCAGUCUGAACGUACCCAUGGAGGCCGAACUGACAUCCCAAUAUUCACCUCCUCAGCAGAACAGCGACCUGUGUCUUCAUUGAAACAAUUC